rnacentral:rRNA from 1 species
CCCUUAGAUGUUCUGGGCCGCACGCGUGCUACACUGAGUGGAUCAGCGGGCCAGGUUGCGCGAAAGCGUUUCCUAAUCUUUAAAUCCGCUCGUGAUGGGGAUUGACGGUUGCAAUUUUCUGUCAUGAACGAGGAAUACCUUGUAAGCGCGGGUCAUCAUCCCGCGCUGAAUACGUCCCUGCCCUUUGUACACACCGCCCGUCGCUCCUACCGAUUGAGUGGUCCGGUGAGGCUUUGGGAUCUAAGCGGAAAGAGCGUUUCGCUGUUUCUGCUCGGAAAACUCAGUCGAACCUUAUCAUUUAGAGGAAGGAGAAGUCGUAACA